GACAGAGGCCCCGAGCGUUAGGCGGAAUCACUGGGCUUAAAGCGUGUGUAGGCGGACGCCUAAGUGUCUUGUGAAAUCCCACGGCUCACCCGUGGAACUGCUGGGCAUACUGGGGGUCUUGGGCCGUUCAGGGGCGACUGGAACAAGCGGUGGAGCGGUGAAAUGCGUAGAUAUCGCUUGGAACGCCGAAGGUGAAAACAGGUCGCUGGGGACGCGCCGACGCUGAGACACGAAAGCCAGGGGAGCAAACGGG
rnacentral:rRNA from 1 species